rnacentral:rRNA from 1 species
UACGUAGGGUGCAAGCGUUAAUCGGAAUUACUGGGCGUAAAGCGUGCGCAGGCGGUUGUGUAAGUCAGAUGUGAAAUCCCCGGGCUCAACCUGGGAAUUGCAUUUGAGACUGCACGGCUAGAGUGUGUCAGAGGGGGGUAGAAUUCCACGUGUAGCAGUGAAAUGCGUAGAGAUGUGGAGGAACACCGAUGGCGAAGGCAGCCCCCUGGGUUAACACUGACGCUCAGGCACGAAAGCGUGGGGAGCAAACAGG